AGAUUGAACUUGGAUUUGUAUAUGACAUGCUUUACACAAAGGCAAGUGUGCUUUAUACAAAUAAGGGCCUCAUACUUCGUGCUAUUGGUGUUCUUCUCCUUCUCUUAGUACUUGUUGGCUUCCAUUUUCACAGUGAUACGGACCAUUACCUAGUCAUUGACAUUGUCAUUACUUAUUUAGUAAUUGCAGCAGAAUUUUUAAAAGAAAUCUUUUCCUAUAUUACCAUGUUCCAUUCAGAUUGGGCUGAUAUCUGGUUUAAACAGCAGAACCACACUCACGACAACCUUAUAUUUUCAUUCUUGAAGCAACCGAGUAAACAAAGGUGGUCCAACUCCAUUGGACAGUCAAAUCUUCUAAGUGUCGCACUCAAGGA
rnacentral:lncRNA from 1 species